rnacentral:pre_miRNA from 1 species
UCAUUCGGAUUCGCCAUCAUACGUCCAACCAUGCAUUUGAUAUGCAUAUAUAUAUGCAUCACGAGCCACGGUUGGGCUGUAUGAUGGCGAUACCGAUUGG